rnacentral:rRNA from 1 species
UACGGGGGGGAGCAAGCGUUGUUCGGAUUUACUGGGCGUAAAGGGCGCGUAGGCGGCCACCGCAAGUCGACUGUGAAAUCUCCGGGCUUAACUCGGAAAGGUCAACUGAUACUGUGCGACUAGAGUGCAGAAGGGGGCAACUGGAAUUCUCGGUGUAGCGGUGAAAUGCGUAGAUAUCGAGAGGAACACCGGUGGCGAAGGCGGCUCACUGGCUCAUUACUGACGCUCAGGCGCGACAGCGUGGGGAUCAAACAGG